rnacentral:rRNA from 1 species
GACGUAGGGCGCGAGCGUUGUCCGGAUUUAUUGGGCGUAAAGAGCUCGUAGGCGGCUUGUCGCGUCGUCCGUGAAAACUUGGGGCUCAACCCCAAGCUUGCGGUCGAUACGGGCAGGCUAGAGUUCGGUAGGGGAGACUGGAAUUCCUGGUGUAGCGGUGAAAUGCGCAGAUAUCAGGAGGAACACCGGUGGCGAAGGCGGGUCUCUGGGCAACAACUGACGCUGAGGAGCGAAAGCGUGGGGAGCGAACAGG